rnacentral:rRNA from 1 species
GACGAACGCUGGCGGCGUGCUUAACACAUGCAAGUCGAACGGAAAGGCCCCCUUGUGGGGUACUCGAGUGGCGAACGGGUGAGGAACACGUGAGUAACCUACCCUUGACUUUGGGAUAACUUCAGGAAACUGGGGCUAAUACCGGAUAGGAGCUCCUGCUGCAUGGUGGGGGUUGGAAAGUUUCGGCGGUUGUGGAUGGACUCGCGGCUUAUCAGCUUGUUGGUGGGGUAGUGGCUCACCAAGGCUUUGACGGGUAGCCGGCCUGAGAGGGUGACCGGCCACCUGGCGACUGAGAUACGGACCAGACUCCUACGGGCGGCAGCAGUGGGGAAUAUUGCACAAUGGGCGGAAGCCUGAUGCAGCAACGCCGCGUGCGGGAAGACGGCCUUCGGGUUGUGAACCGCUUUCGCAUGUGACGAAGCGUGAGUGACGGUACUGGGUAAAGAAGCACCGGCUAACUACGUG